GGCAACCCUGAUCCAGCCAUGCCGCGUGUGUGAAGAAGGCCUUAGGGUUGUAAAGCACUUUCAGUAGGGAGGAAGGCCCAGUAGUUAAUACCUGCAGGGAUUGACGUUACCUACAGAAGCAGCACCGGCUAACUCCGUGCCAGCAGCCGCGGUAAUACGGAGGGUGCAAGCGUUAAUCGGAAUUACUGGGCGUAAAGCGCGCGUAGGCGGUUUGUUAAGUGAGAUGUGAAAGCCCAGGGCUCAACCUUGGAACUGCAUCUCAUACUGGCAGGCUAGAGUACGGUAGAGGGGGGUAGAAUUCCAU
rnacentral:rRNA from 1 species